rnacentral:rRNA from 1 species
GAGUUUGAUCAUGGCUCAGGAUGAACGCUAGCGGCAGGCUUAACACAUGCAAGUCGAGGGGUAUAGGUUUUCGGACCUAGAGACCGGCGCACGGGUGCGUAACGCGUAUGCAAUCUGCCUUUUACUGAGGGAUAGCCCAGAGAAAUUUGGAUUAAUACCUCAUAGUAUUAUUGAAUGGCAUCAUUUAAUAAUUAAAGUUCCAGCGGUAAAAGAUGAGCAUGCGUCCCAUUAGCUAGAUGGUAAGGUAACGGCUUACCAUGGCGACGAUGGGUAGGGGUCCUGAGAGGGAGAUCCCCCACACUGGUACUGAGACACGGACCAGACUCCUACGGGAGGCAGCAGUGAGGAAUAUUGGUCAAUGGGCGCAAGCCUGAACCAGCCAUGCCGCGUGCAGGAUGACGGCCCUAUGGGUUGUAAACUGCUUUUGUACGGGAAGAAACACUCCUACGUGUAGGAACUUGACGGUACCGUAAGAAUAAGGAUCGGCUAACUCCGUGCCAGCAGCCGCCGUAAC